rnacentral:rRNA from 1 species
UACGUAGGUGGCAAGCGUUGUCCGGAUUUAUUGGGCCUAAAGCAUCCGUAGCCGGUCUUGCAAGUCUUCCGUUAAAUCCAGCUGCUUAACAGAUGGGCUGCGGAAGAUACUACAAGACUAGGAGGUGGGAGAGGCAAGCGGUACUCAGUGGGUAGGGGUAAAAUCCUCUGAUCCAUUGAAGACCACCAGUGGCGAAGGCGGCUCACUGGUCCGGUACUGACGCUGAGGUGCGAAAGCGUGGGGAGCAAACAGG